UGAAGGCCYUCGGGUUGUAAACCGCUKUCAGUUGGGAGGAAAUUAUUUAGGGCMAUCCCUAUUUAUUGACCUAUCUUCAKAGGAAGGACAGGCUAAGUUCGUGCCAGCAGCCGCGGUAAUACRAACUGUCCAAACGUUAUUCGGAAUCACUGGGCUUAAAGGGUGCGUAGGCGGCGUAGUAAGUUGGAUGUGAAAUCCUACGGCUCAACCGUAGAACUGCGUUCAAUACUGCUAUGCUUGAGGGAGAUAGAGGUAAGCGGAACUUCKGGUGGAGCGGWGAAAUGCKKAGAUAUCCGAAGGAACACCAGUGGCGAAAGCGGCUUACUGGGUCUCUUCUGACGCUGAGGCACGAAAGCUAGGGUAGCGAACGGGAUUAGAUACCCCGGURGUCCUAGCCGUAAACGAUGAKAACUAGAUGUCGGGAGGAAUUGYCUUUCKGUGUCSCAGCUAACGCGUUAAGUUCUCCGCCUGGGGAGUACGCCGGCAACGGKAAAACUCAAAGGAAUUGACRGGGACCCGCACAAGCGGYGGAGCAUGUGGUUUAAUUCKAGGCUACGCGMAGAACCUUACCUGGGCUUGAARUGUUYMGGAACCCCUGYGAAAKCAGGGGGUGCCCUUCGGGGAACCUUUGCAAAGGUGCUGCAUGGCUGUYCGUCAGCUCGUGUCGUGAGAUGUCGGGUUAAGUCCCUUAACGAGCGMAACCCCUUGUCUCCMGUUGCC
rnacentral:rRNA from 1 species